CGGGGGAGCAAGCGUUGUUCGGAUUUACUGGGCGUAAAGGGCGUGUAGGCGGCCACCGCAAGUCGACUGUGAAAUCUCCGGGCUUAACUCGGAAAGGUCAGCCGAUACUGCGGGGCUAGAGUGCAGAAGGGGCAACUGGAAUUCUCGGUGUAGCGGUGAAAUGCGUAGAUAUCGAGAGGAACACCUGCGGCGAAGGCGGGUUGCUGGGCUGACACUGACGCUGAAACGCGAAAGCUAGGGGAGCGAACGGGAUUAGAUACCCCGGUAGUCCUAGCCUUAAACGAUGAAUGCUUGGUGUCUGGGGUUUUAUAGUCCCCGGGUGCCGUCGCUAACGCUUUAAGCAUUCCGCCUGGGGAGUACGGUCGCAAGACUG
rnacentral:rRNA from 1 species